UACGUAGGGGGCAAGCGUUGUCCGGAUUUAUUGGGCGUAAAGAGCGUGUAGGCGGCCUUACAGGUCAGCUGUGAAACUCGAGGCUCAACCUCGAGACGUCGGUUGAAACCGUAAGGCUAGAGUCCGGAAGAGGAGAGUGGAAUUCCCGGUGUAGCGGUGAAAUGCGCAGAUAUCGGGAAGAACACCCGUGGCGAAGGCGGUUCUCUGGGACGGUACUGACGCUGAGACGCGAAAGCGUGGGGAGCGAACAGG
rnacentral:rRNA from 1 species